GUCUACAGCUGUGCCACCCUGAACACACCCAAUCUCAUCUGAUCUCGGAAGCUAGGCAGGGUCGGGCCGGUUAGCACCUGGAUGGGAGAAACUGAGAGGGAAGGGUGCUUCACU
ensembl:rRNA 5S_rRNA 5S ribosomal RNA